UCAAACUUGGUCAUUUAGAGGAAGUAAAAGUCGUAACAAGGUUUCCGUAGGUGAACCUGCGGAAGGAUCAUUAAAGAAAUCCGUCGAAAGGGCUUUUUUUUGCCGAGUAGGCGUUCCAUUUCAACCAUCCCACCCCAUCGUGAACUCUUGCGUUGCAGGCUCGGUAGGAAGGCUUCAAAAACCUUCCAAAGGGCUUGCGGCGUAUUUUUACCAUACACACCACAUGUAACUCGGAAUGGAUAACGUCGUGCUCGACCGCAUGAAUAUAAAUAAAUACAACUUUCAGCAACGGAUCUCUUGGCUCUCGCAUCGAUGAAGAACGCAGC
rnacentral:misc_RNA from 1 species